UGGCGACCGGCGCACGGGUGAGUAACGCGUAUCCAACCUGCCCUUUACUAUGGGACAGCCCGUCGAAAGGCGGAUUAAUACCGUAUGUUGUCAUGUUGAUGCAUAUUUUCAUGACCAAAGGCUUCGGCCGGUAAAGGAUGGGGAUGCGUCUGAUUAGCUUGCGGCGGGGUAACGGCCCACCGGGGCGACGAUCAGUAGGGGUUCUGAGAGGAAGGUCCCCCACAUUGGAACUGAGACACGGUCCAAACUCCUACGGGAGGCAGCAG
rnacentral:rRNA from 1 species